rnacentral:rRNA from 1 species
UACGUAGGGGGCAAGCGUUGUCCGGAUUUAUUGGGCGUAAAGAGCGUGUAGGCGGCCAGACAGGUCAGCUGUGAAAACUCGAGGCUCAACCUCGAGACGUCGGUUGAAACCGUCUGGCUAGAGUCCGGAAGGGGAGAGUGGAAUUCCCGGUGUAGCGGUGAAAUGCGCAGAUAUCGGGAAGAACACCCGUGGCGAAGGCGGCUCACUGGCUCAUUACUGACGCUCAGGCGCGAUAGCGUGGGGAUCAAACAGG